rnacentral:rRNA from 1 species
UGCCCAAUCGUGGGGGAUAACGCAGCGAAAGCUGUGCUAAUACCGCAUACGAUCUACGGAUGAAAGCAGGGGAUCGCAAGACCUUGCGCGAAUGGAGCGGCCGAUGGCAGAUUAGGUAGUUGGUGAGGUAAAGGCUCACCAAGCCUUCGAUCUGUAGCUGGUCUGAGAGGACGACCAGCCACACUGGGACUGAGACACGGCCCAGACUCCUACGGGAGGCAGCAGUGGGGAAUUUUGGACAAUGGGCGCAAGCCUGAUCCAGCCAUGCCGCGUGCAGGAUGAAGGCCUUCGGGUUGUAAACUGCUUUUGUACGGAACGAAACGGCCUUUUCUAAUAAAGAGGGCUAAUGACGGUACCGUAAGAAUAAGCACCGGCUAACUACGUGCCAGCAGCCGCGGUAAUACGUAGGGUGCAAGCGUUAAUCGGAAUUACUGGGCGUAAAGCGUGCGCAGGCGGUAAUGUAAGACAGUUGUGAAAUCCCCGGGCUCAACCUGGGAACUGCAUCUGUGACUGCAUUGCUGGAGUACGGCAGAGGGGGAUGGAAUUCCGCGUGUAGCAGUGAAAUGCGUAGAUAUGCGGAGGAACACCGAUGGCGAAGGCAAUNCCCCUGGGUCCUGUACUGAC